rnacentral:rRNA from 1 species
GAUGAACGCUGGCGGCGUGCCUAAUACAUGCAAGUCGAGCGAACAGACGAGGAGCUUGUUCCUCUGCCGUUAGCGGCGGACGGGCGAGUAACACGUGGAUAACAUACCUAUAUGACUGGGAUAACUUCGGGAAACCGGUGCCAAUACCGGAUAAUAUAUUGAACCGCUUGGUUCAAUAGUGAAAGACGGCUUUGCCGUUACUUUGAGCUGGUUCCGCGCCGCAUUAGCUAGUUGGUAAGGUAACGGCUUACCAAGGCAACGAUGCGUAGCCGACCUGAGAGGGUGAUCGGCCACACUGGAACUGAGACACGGUCCAGACUCCUACGGGAGGCAGCAGUGGGGAAUCUUGCACAAUGGGCGAAAGCCUGACGGAGCAACGCCGCGUGAGUGAUGAAGGUCUUCGGAUCGUAAAACUCUGUUAUUAGGGAAGAACAAAAGUAUAAGUAACUAUGCACGUCUUGACGGUACCUAAUCAGAAAGCCACGGCUAACUACGUG